rnacentral:rRNA from 1 species
UACGUAGGGGGCUAGCGUUGUCCGGAAUCAUUGGGCGUAAAGCGCGUGUAGGCGGUUCGGUAAGUCCGCUGUGAAAGUCGGGGGCUCAACCCUCGAAAGCCGGUGGAUACUGUCGGGCUAGAGUACGGAAGAGGCGAGUGGAAUUCCUGGUGUAGCGGUGAAAUGCGCAGAUAUCUGGAGGAACACCGGUGGCGAAGGCGGCAUCCUGGACCGGCAUUGACGCUGAGGCGCGAAAGCCAGGGGAGCAAACGGG